CACCCGCAACGGCCGGCAUGCUCAAUGGCACAGCUGCCAGGGGAGCCAAAGUGGGUUUGACAAUAGCAUAAAUGGGGAGCGCCGCCGCUGCCGCCAAUGGUGGUAUCAAACGCGGCAUCAAACUGCGUACCAAUGGCGAAGCCGUGGCUUGCCCUAACACAAUACAUACAUUCAGAUUUAUCAAUCCAAAUUUUGUUGUUUUUUUCUCUCCCUAAUUUACUUUUUGUUCAAUAAUUUUUGAUAAAUGUGUGAGAGAGAAAAUGAUCUUUCACUCACCAUAAGGAGUCUCAUUCCAACUAUUGAUCACCGUUGGAUCAUGGUCGACUUCCCUUUGGCAAACACCCUCUUCUUGUUCCGGAUGCUGUGACUGUUGCUGCGGUAAUCUCUGCUGGACACUACCUGCUGCACUAAAUGCGUGCUGAUGAUGCUGCGGCAGAUUCUGCACCCAAGAUAAGUGUGCUUGUUGCUGUUGCUUUUCACCUGGAUAUAGUGUUGUUGCAAGUUGACUUCUUUCGGUAUCAUUGACAUCAGACAGAUCUAGGAAUUCGUAGCACUCCUGUGUCACCUAGAAAAUAGCCCCAAAAAUACAUUUUUUUUAAGAAUUUCAAUUUUUUUUGUGAGAAUUCUUUUUACAAAAAAAUGAUUGAUUUGUUUUUUUUUUAAGUGAACUCAUCAAACUAAAAAUAGAAUUAAAAAAAAUUAUCAAAGAAAAACAAUAAUUUCUUAUUUUGUGUUAUCUUAUCACACAUAUAUAUUUUAUUACGUGACCAAGUAACAAAAUGUAAUAAAUAUAUAGAAUAGAAUGCGAGCUGUCUCAAAAGUUAAAUUUUGUAUGAGAAAAAGAAGGGUUAAGAAGUUAAAAAGAAGUAAUAAAACAACAUUUUUAAAA